rnacentral:rRNA from 1 species
UGGCUCAGGACGAACGCUGGCGGCGUGCUUAACACAUGCAAGUCGAACGGAAAGGCCCUUCGGGGUACUCGAGUGGCGAACGGGUGAGUAACACGUGGGUGAUCUGCCUCGUACUUUGGGAUAAGCCUGGGAAACUGGGUCUAAUACCGAAUAUGACCUUCCCUCGCAUGGGGGUUGGUGGAAACUUUUUGGGUACGAGAUGGGCCCGCGGCCUAUCAGCUUGUUGGUGGGGUAAUGGCCUACCAAGGCGACGACGGGUAGCCGGCCUGAGAGGGCGACCGGCCACACUGGGACUGAGACACGGCCCAGACUCCUACGGGAGGCAGCAGUGGGGAAUAUUGCACAAUGGGCGCAAGCCUGAUGCAGCGACGCCGCGUGAGGGAUGACGGCCUUCGGGUUGUAAACCUCUUUCACCAGGGACGAAGAGAAAUUGACGGUACCUGGAGAAGAAGCACCGGCCAACUACGUGCCAGCAGCCGCGGUAAUACGUAGGGUGCGAGCGUUGUCCGGAAUUACUGGGCGUAAAGAGCUCGUAGGCGGUUUGUCGCGUCGUUCGUGAAAUCUUGAUGCUUAACAUCAAGCGUGCGGGCGAUACGGGCAGACUUGAGUACUACAGGGGAGACUGGAAUUCCUGGUGUAGCGGUGAAAUGCGCAGAUAUCAGGAGGAACACCGGUGGCGAAGGCGGGUCUCUGGGUAGUAACUGACGCUGAGGAGCGAAAGCGUGGGUAGCGAACAGGAUUAGAUACCCUGGUAGUCCACGCCGUAAACGGUGGGUACUAGGUGUGGGUCCCUUUUCACGGGAUCCGUGCCGUAGCUAACGCAUUAAGUACCCCGCC